CCUACGGGAGGCUGCAGUGGGGAAUAUUGGGCAAUGGGCGCAAGCCUGACCCAGCAACGCCGCGUGAAGGAAGAAGGCUUUCGGGUUGUAAACUGCUUUUCUCAGGGACGAAGAAAGUGACGGUACCUGAGGAAUAAGCCACGGCUAACUACGUGCCAGCAGCCGCGGUAAUACGGAGGUGGCAGGCGUUAUGCGGAUUUGAUGGGUGUAAGGGGCGUGUAGGCGGGAGCGCAAGUCAGAUGUGAAAACUCAGGGCUCAACCCUGAGCCUGCAUUUGAAACUGUGUUUCUUGAGUGCUGGAGAGGCAAUCGGAAUUCCGGGUGUAGCGGUGAAAUGCGUAGAUAUACGGAGGAACACCGGUGGCGAAGGCAGAUUGCUGGACAGUAACUGAUGCUGAGGCGCGAAAGCGUGGGGAGCGAACAGGAUUAGAUACCCGUGUAGUC
rnacentral:rRNA from 1 species